rnacentral:rRNA from 1 species
UGAGGAAUAUUGCGCAAUGGAGGCAACUCUGACGCAGCCAUGCCGCGUGCAGGAAGAAGGCGCUACGCGUUGUAAACUGCUUUUAACCGGGAAGAAACCCCAGGACGUGUCCUGGGUUGACGGUACCGGAGGAAUAAGCACCGGCUAACUUCGUGCCAGCAGCCGCGGUAAUACGAAGGGUGCAAGCGUUAUCCGGAUUCAUUGGGUUUAAAGGGUGCGUAGGUGGGGCGUUAAGUCAGUGGUGAAAGCCCACAGCUCAACUGUGGAAUUGCCAUUGAUACUGGCGCUCUUGAGUGCGCUUGAAGUAGGCGGAAUAUGCCGUGUAGCGGUGAAAUGCUUAGAUAUGGCACAGAACACCAAUUGCGAAGGCAGCUUACUAAGGCGAUACUGACGCUGAGGCAC